rnacentral:rRNA from 1 species
GUGGAUUAGUGUGCGAACGGGUGAGUAACACGGGGGCAAUCUGCCCUUCACUCUGGGACAAGCCCUGGAAACGGGGUCUAAUACCGGAUAAUACUCCUGCCUGCAUGGGCGGGGGUUGAAAGCUCCGGCGGUGAAGGAUGAGCCCGCGGCCUAUCAGCUUGUUGGUGGGGUAAUGGCCCACCAAGGCGACGACGGGUAGCCGGCCUGAGAGGGCGACCGGCCACACUGGGACUGAGACACGGCCCAGACUCCUACGGGAGGCAGCAGUGGGGAAUAUUGCACAAUGGGCGAAAGCCUGAUGCAGCGACGCCGCGUGAGGGAUGACGGCCUUCGGGUUGUAAACCUCUUUCAGCAGGGAAGAAGCGAAAGUGACGGUACCUGCAGAAGAAGCGCCGGCUAACUACGUGCCAGCAGCCGCGGUAAUACGUAGGGCGCAAGCGUUGUCCGGAAUUAUUGGGCGUAAAGAGCUCGUAGGCGGCUUGUCACGUCGGAUGUGAAAGCCCGAGGCUUAACCUCGGGUCUGCAUUCGAUACGGGCUAGCUAGAGUGUGGUAGGGGAGAUCGGAAUUCCUGGUGUAGCGGUGAAAUGCGCAGAUAUCAGGAGGAACACCGGUGGCGAAGGCGGAUCUCUGGGCCAUUACUGACGCUGAGGAGCGAAAGCGUGGGGAGCGAACAGGAUUAGAUACUCUGGGUAGUCCACGCCGUACACGUUGGGAACUAGGUGUUGGGCGACAUUCCACGUCGUCGGUGCCGCAGCUAACGCAUUAAGUUCCCCCGCUCUGGGGGAGUACGGCCGCUAGGCUAAAACUCAAAAGGAAUUUGACUGGGGGCCCCGCAACAGGCAGCGGGAGCAUGGUGGCAUAAACUUCGGACUCAACGCGGAAGAAUCUUUCACCUACGGCUUGA